rnacentral:rRNA from 1 species
GACGAACGCUGGCGGCGUGCUUAACACAUGCAAGUCGAACGGAAAGGCUCCAGCUUGCUGGAGUGCUCGAGUGGCGAACGGGUGAGUAACACGUGGGCAAUCUGCCCUGCACUCUGGGAUAAGCCUGGGAAACUGGGUCUAAUACCGGAUAGGACCUUUCUCCUCAUGGGGUUUGGUGGAAAGUUUUUCGGUGCAGGAUGAGCCCGCGGCCUAUCAGCUUGUUGGUGGGGUAAUGGCCUACCAAGGCGACGACGGGUAGCCGGCCUGAGAGGGUGAUCGGCCACAUUGGGACUGAGAUACGGCCCAGACUCCUACGGGAGGCAGCAGUGGGGAAUAUUGCACAAUGGGCGAAAGCCUGAUGCAGCGACGCCGCGUGAGGGAUGACGGCCUUCGGGUUGUAAACCUCCUUCAGUAGGGACGAAGCGCAAGUGACGGUACCUGCAGAAGAAGCACCGGCUAACUACGUG